GGAGUGACGUCUCCGAAUGUUGUUGUUGGUGGCGGCGGCGAGCGGAGCCGGAGGAGCCGCCGCAAAGAUGGAGGAGCCGUCGAGGAGGCGCUGCCGCCGCUGCUGCCGCCGCUGUUGCCGCCGUCGCCCGCGAAGCCGGAGCUCGAGUCGCAGCGGGGAUGCCGUUCUGAGUGCCUGACUGCCUCACCCCGAAGGAUGGCCUUGGAUGGGCAUUAGAGGCAUUGCGGCCCCGGGCUCCUGUCCCAUCCGUCUGUCUGUUAUCGUCUGUCUCUCUUGACAUCACCGCAGCUCCACCCCCUCCCGUCCCAGCCCCCAGCGCCAGCUUCCUGCAGGCCCAGAGCCGGCAUGAACUCUCCCAACGAGUCGGAGCGCCCAGGCCGGAUGAGGCGCCUCCUUGCCUUGUGGGUCCCAGCGGCAGUGGCCUGAGGGAGUCCUUGAGCAGCCUGCUGGCCCUGCUGACCACCUUCCCCUCACCGGCUUCCGCCUCGGGCGGCUCCUCCCUGGCAUGCUGCUGGUGCCCAAGGCACAGGGGCUCGUGGAGAUGCUGCAAACCAUCUAUGAGACCGAGUCCUGUUUCUCAGCAGAUGGCAUGCCAGGCCGGGAGCCAUCCUUGGAAAUCCUGCCACGGACUCCUCUGCACAGCAUCCCUGUGGCAGUGGAGGUGAAGCCGGUGCUGCCAGGAGCCAUGCCCAGCUCCAUGGGGGGUGGAGGUGGAGGUAGCCCCAGCCCUGUGGAGCUCCGGGGAGCUCUGGCAGGCCCCAUGGACCCUGCGCUACGGGAGCAGCAACUGCAGCAAGAGCUCCUGGUGCUCAAGCAGCAGCAGCAGCUUCAGAAGCAGCUCUUGUUCGCCGAGUUUCAGAAGCAGCACGACCACCUGACGAGGCAGCAUGAAGUCCAGCUGCAGAAGCACCUGAAGCAGCAGCAGGAGAUGCUGGCGGCUAAGAGGCAGCAAGAGCUGGAGCAGCAGCGGCAGCGGGAGCAGCAGCGGCAAGAGGAGCUGGAGAAGCAGCGGCUGGAGCAGCAGCUGCUUAUCCUGCGGAACAAGGAGAAGAGCAAAGAGAGUGCCAUCGCCAGCACCGAGGUAAAGCUGAGGCUCCAGGAAUUCCUCUUGUCGAAGUCAAAGGAGCCCACGCCAGGCAGCCUCAACCAUUCCCUCCCACAGCACCCCAAAUGCUGGGGAGCCCACCAUGCUUCUUUGGACCAGAGUUCCCCUCCCCAGAGCGGCCCUCCUGGGACGCCUCCCUCCUACAAACUGCCUUUGCUUGGGCCCUAUGACAGCCGUGAUGACUUCCCCCUCCGCAAAACAGCUUCUGAGCCCAACUUAAAAGUCCGUUCGAGGCUAAAACAGAAGGUGGCGGAGAGGAGAAGCAGUCCCCUCCUACGUCGAAAGGAUGGUACUGUUAUUAGUACCUUUAAGAAGAGAGCCGUUGAAAUCACAGGCACAGGGCCUGGGGUGUCGUCCGUGUGUAACAGUGCGCCCGGCUCUGGCCCCAGCUCUCCCAACAGUUCCCACAGCGCCAUCGCUGAGAACGGCUUCACUGGCUCAGUCCCCAACAUCCCCACCGAGAUGCUCCCCCAGCACCGGGCCCUCCCUCUGGACAGCUCCCCAAACCAGUUCAGCCUCUACACGUCUCCUUCUCUGCCCAACAUCUCCCUAGGGCUGCAGGCCACAGUCACUGUCACCAACUCACACCUCACCGCCUCCCCGAAGCUGUCAACACAGCAGGAGGCUGAGAGGCAGGCCCUUCAGUCCCUGCGGCAGGGUGGCACACUGACUGGCAAGUUCAUGAGCACAUCAUCCAUCCCUGGCUGCCUGCUGGGUGUGACAUUGGAGGGCGACACGAGCCCCCAUGGGCAUGCUUCCCUGCUGCAGCAUGUUUUGCUGCUAGAACAGGCCCGGCAACAGAGCACGCUUAUAGCUGUGCCACUCCAUGGGCAGUCCCCAUUGGUGACGGGUGAACGUGUGGCCACCAGCAUGAGGACAGUGGGCAAGCUCCCGAGGCACCGACCUCUGAGCCGCACUCAGUCCUCUCCACUGCCGCAGAGUCCCCAGGCCCUGCAGCAGCUGGUCAUGCAGCAGCAGCACCAGCAGUUCCUAGAGAAGCAGAAGCAGCAGCAGAUGCAGCUGGGCAAGAUCCUCACCAAGACUGGGGAACUGCCAAGGCAGCCCACCACCCACCCCGAGGAGACAGAGGAGGAGCUGACAGAGCAGCAGGAGGCUUUGCUGGGGGAGGGGGCCCUGACCAUGCCACGGGAAGGCUCCACAGAGAGCGAGAGCACCCAGGAAGACCUAGAAGAAGAGGAGGAUGAAGAGGAGGAAGACGAAGACUGCAUUCAGGUCAAGGAUGAGGAAGGCGAGAGUGGUCCCGACGAGGGCCCUGACUUAGAGGAGUCCAGUGCUGGUUAUAAAAAGUUGUUCACAGAUGCCCAGCAGCUACAGCCCCUGCAGGUGUACCAGGCACCCCUCAGCCUGGCCACUGUGCCUCAUCAGGCCCUGGGCCGCACCCAGUCCUCACCUGCUGCUCCUGGGAGCAUGAAGAGCCCCCCAGACCAGCCCACUAAGCACCUCUUCACCACAGGUGUGGUCUAUGACACGUUCAUGCUGAAGCACCAGUGCAUGUGCGGGAACACACAUGUACACCCAGAGCACGCCGGCCGCAUCCAGAGCAUCUGGUCCCGGCUGCAGGAAACUGGCCUGCUCAGCAAGUGUGAGCGGAUCCGGGGUCGUAAAGCCACACUGGAUGAAAUCCAGACAGUGCACUCUGAGUACCACACCUUGCUCUAUGGGACCAGCCCCCUCAACCGGCAGAAGCUGGACAGCAAGAAGCUGCUUGGGCCCAUCAGCCAGAAGAUGUAUGCCAUGCUGCCUUGUGGGGGCAUUGGGGUGGACAGUGAUACUGUAUGGAAUGAGAUGCACUCCUCCAGUGCUGUGCGAAUGGCAGUGGGCUGCCUGGUAGAGCUGGCCUUCAAGGUGGCUGCAGGGGAGCUCAAGAAUGGAUUUGCCAUCAUCCGGCCCCCAGGACAUCAUGCUGAGGAGUCCACAGCCAUGGGAUUCUGCUUCUUCAACUCCGUAGCCAUCACAGCUAAGCUCCUGCAGCAGAAGUUGAACGUGGGCAAGGUCCUCAUCGUGGACUGGGACAUUCACCAUGGCAAUGGCACCCAGCAAGCAUUCUACGAUGACCCCUCUGUGCUCUACAUCUCCCUGCAUCGCUAUGACAAUGGGAACUUCUUUCCAGGCUCUGGGGCCCCUGAAGAGGUUGGCGGAGGGCCAGGCAUGGGGUACAAUGUUAAUGUGGCAUGGACAGGAGGUGUGGAUCCCCCCAUCGGAGACGUGGAAUACCUAACAGCCUUCAGGACAGUGGUGAUGCCCAUUGCCCACGAGUUCUCACCUGACGUCGUCCUAGUCUCCGCUGGGUUUGAUGCUGUCGAAGGACAUCUGUCUCCACUGGGUGGCUAUUCUGUCACCGCCAGAUGUUUUGGCCACUUGACCAGGCAGCUCAUGACACUGGCAGGGGGCCGGGUGGUGCUGGCCCUGGAGGGAGGCCAUGACUUGACCGCCAUCUGUGAUGCCUCUGAGGCCUGUGUCUCGGCUCUGCUCAGUGUAGAGCUACAGCCCUUGGAUGAAGCAGUUUUGCAGCAAAAACCCAGCAUCAAUGCAGUCGCCACACUAGAGAAAGUCAUCGAGAUCCAGAGUGCGUCGGGACAGGCAGAGGGGCUCAUACCUCAACCUGCCAGGCAAACACUGGAGCUGUGUGCAGAGGUUUGCCACUGGUCUGGGCUGCUCUCUGCAGGAGGCUCAGGCAGGUGAGACUGAGGAGGCCGAGACUGUGAGCGCCAUGGCCCUGCUCUCUGUGGGCGCUGAGCAGGCCCAGGCUGUUGCCACUCAAGAGCACAGCCCCAGGCCAGCAGAGGAGCCCAUGGAGCAGGAGCCUACCCUGUGACACCCUGGCCCCCAUUCCUCUGGGCUUCAUCAUUGCGAUUUUGUUUAUUUUUUCUAUUAAAAACAAAAAGUCACACAUUCA